UUAAAGUCNUGAUCUGCCCUAUGAGGAGUUAAAUGGCCGCGGUACUUUGACCGUGCAAAGGUAGCAUAAUAAUUAGUUUUUUAAUUGAAAGCUGGAAUGAAUGAUUAGACGAGAAAAUAACUGUCUCAAUUUAAAUUUAUUAGAAUUUUAUUUUUAAGUAAGAAAGCUUAAAUUUAAUUAAAAGACGAGAAGACCCUAUAGAGUUUUAUAUUUAGUUUAUUAUUAAUUUUUUAGAAUUAUUUUAUUAAUUAUAGAAUAAAUAUUUUGUUGGGGCGAUAGGAAAAUAUUAUAAACUUUUUUUUUAUUUUUAAUCCAUUGAUUUAUGAAUUAAUGAUCCAUUAUUAAUGAUUAUAAGAAUAAGUUACCUUAGGGAUAACAGCGUAAUUUUUUUUGAGAGUUCAUAUCGAGAAAAAAGAUUGCGACCUCGAUGUUGGAUUAAAAUAAAUUUUUGGUGUAGAAGCUAAAUAAUUAGGUCUGUUCGACCUUUAAAAUUUUACA
rnacentral:rRNA from 1 species